CACAUGCUUUAACUUUCUUUC
rnacentral:piRNA from 1 species